CCUACGGGUCGCAGCAGUGGGGAAUAUUGGACAAUGGGCGAAAGCCUGAUCCAGCCAUGCCGCGUGUGUGAAGAAGGCCUUCGGGUUGUAAAGCACUUUCAGUGGGGAAGAAAGCCUUGGGGCUAAUACCCUCGAGGAAGGACAUCACUCACAGAAGAAGCACCGGCUAACUCCGUGCCAGCAGCCGCGGUAAUACGGAGGGUGCGAGCGUUAAUCGGAAUUACUGGGCGUAAAGCGCGCGUAGGCGGUCUGAUAAGCCGGUUGUGAAAGCCCCGGGCUCAACCUGGGAACGGCAUCCGGAACUGUCAGGCUAGAGUGCAGGAGAGGAAGGUAGAAUUCCCGGUGUAGCGGUGAAAUGCGUAGAGAUCGGGAGGAAUACCAGUGGCGAAGGCGGCCUUCUGGACUGACACUGACGCUGAGGUGCGAAAGCGUGGGUAGCAAACAGGAUUAGAUACCCUAGUAGUC
rnacentral:rRNA from 1 species